UGAAGAAAAUCCACUUUGGGUUCGUGAA
rnacentral:piRNA from 1 species